UACAGAGGCCUCGAGCGUUGUUCGGAAUUACUGGGCGUAAAGGGAAUGUAGGUGGUGACGUAAGUCAGAUGUGAAAGCCCUGGGCUUAACCCGGGAAGUGCAUUUGAUACUGCGUUGCUUGAGUACGAGAGAGGAAAGCGGAAUUCCUAGUGUAGGAGUGAAAUCCGUAGAUAUUAGGAGGAAUACCGAUGGCGAAGGCAGCUUUCUGGCUCGUAACUGACACUGAGAUUCGAAAGCGUGGGUAGCAAACAGG
rnacentral:rRNA from 1 species